AACCAGACUCCUACGGGAGGCAGCAGUGGGGAAUAUUGCACAAUGGGGGAAACCCUGAUGCAGCGACGCCGCGUGAGUGAAGAAGUAAUUCGUUAUGUAAAGCUCUAUCAGCAGGGAAGAAAAUGACGGUACCUGAGUAAGAAGCCCCGGCUAACUACGUGCCAGCAGCCGCGGUAAUACGUAGGGGGCAAGCGUUAUCCGGAUUUACUGGGCGUAAAGCGCUCGUAGGCGGUAUGUCAAGUCAAGGGUGAAAUCCCCGCGCUCAACGUGGGAACUGCCUUUGAAACUGGCAAACUGGAGUGUGUGAGAGGAUAGUGGAAUUCCAGGUGUAGGAGUGAAAUCCGUAGAUAUCUGGAGGAACAUCAGUGGCGAAGGCGACUAUCUGGCACAUAACUGGCGCUGAGGAGCGAAAGCGUGUGUAGCAAACAGGAUUAGAUCCCCUGGUA
rnacentral:rRNA from 1 species